UCCGGUUGAUCCUGCCGGCGGUCACUGCUAUCGAGUUUCGACUAAGCCAUGCGAGUCACAGGCCGAAAGGUACUGGCGGACGGCUCAGUAACACGCGGAUAAUCUACCCUCAGGUGGGGUAUACCCUUGGGAAACUGAGGCUAAUCCCCCAUAGGUCCUGUAAACUGGAAUGUUUUAGGACUGAAAGUCACGGCGCCUGAGGAUGAGUCUGCGGCCUAUCAGGUAGUAGGUGGGGUAAAGGCCCACAUAGCCUAUGACGGGUACGGGCCCUGAGAGGGGUAGCCCGGAGAUGGGUUCUGAGACACGAACCCAGGCCCUACGGGGCGCAGCAGGCGCGAAACCUUCGCAAUGCGCGCAAGCGCGACGAGGGGAACUCGAGUGCUAUUAUCCUUUUGGGUGAUAGCUUUUCUCGAUCCUAAAAAGAUCGGGGAAUAAAAGCUGGGUAAGACGGGUGCCAGCCGCCGCGGUAAUACCCGCAGCUCAAGUGGUGGCCACUAUUAUUGAGCCUAAAGCGUCCGUAGCCGGUCUUGUAAAUCUCUGGGUAAAUCCCAUCGCUCAACGGUGGGAAGACUGGAGAGACUGCAAGACUAGGGAUCGGGUGAGGUAAGAGGUACUCCUGGGGUAGGGGUAAAAUCCUGUAAUCCUGGGGGGACGACCGGUGGCGAAGGCGUCUUACUAGAACGACUCCGACGGUGAGGGGCGAAGGCUAGGGGAGCAAACCGGAUUAGAUACCCGGGUAGUCCUAGCUGUAAACGCUGCCCACUUGGUGUUGCCCUUUCGUAGGGAAGGGGCAGUGCCGGAGCGAAGGUGUUAAGUGGGCCGCUUGGGGAGUAUGGUCGCAAGGCUGAAACUUAAAGGAAUUGGCGGGAGAGCACCGCAACGGGAGGAGCGUGCGGUUUAAUUGGAUUCAACGCCGGG
rnacentral:rRNA from 1 species